rnacentral:lncRNA from 1 species
UGGCUUUUUGUAGUUUAUGGCUUCAUCUAUUUGAUCUGUCUGACUUAGUGGCUCCUGCAUUCACAACAAACACCCACAUUCAGUAUUAGCUAUGAAUUUCAAUGUCUCAGAUCCUCAGUCCGACAAAGAUAUCUGGUGUAACAAGAGAGUAUUUCUGGCAUUGACAGAGAGAGAGACCUUAAAAGUUUGUUUAGGGAGGAGGGAGUAGAGGUUGAGUAAAGAAGUUUCAUACGAUUUCUCCUGUUCUUCUCAACAACCCUCCUUUCAACUUUGGUUGAAGAAGAUUCAUUUGCAUGAUUCCGAUCCAUUCUCUGGCAAGUUGGCCACAAAUAGUACUAAAUACAUAUAUUAUAUAUAUGAGACACACACACACACACACACACACAGAGAUAUAAUAUAAGUCUGUCUGGUGAGAAAAGUGCAGAAGGAAGAUGAAGUCUUUACUGUCUAGUGACUAGCAAGGAAAUCAAAGAGUAGAGUCAACGCGUACUACUGCUACUCUACUCGUCAUCCAAGUUACAUCAGCCAUAUUUAUUAGUCAGAAAGAAAGCCGCUAAGAUAGAAUUUUGCAUCCAAUUUAAGCACGUGGAUUUAUUAUAUUAGCCUGAGUUUAAUUGUUUCUGCGCCCUACUGAGCAUUCACACUACCAGAAAAUAUCUUGACGUGGCAGUGUGAUUUCUGUUACGCGGUUUAUGGAUAUUCUCCACGUUUUUUAUUCGUUUAUAGUUUAACUUGUCCUAUUUCAUAAGUUUUCACGUGAUUUUUUGUUUUUCUCAUCGAGGAUUGUAUUGAUAUUUUUGUCCUGUUUUUCAUCAAGUAGAAAUGGUUGCCCAAAAACAAAACGAGAGGAACGUUUACUUUAUGUUUUAUUCACGAAGAACAAUUCUAAAAAGGGCUAUGAGAUUGCAUUAAUAUCUAAGAAUUACAUUAAACAUAAUUAUUCAUCAACAAAUACAAAUCCUUUGACAACAAAUCUCAUCCCAAUAAACAACAUAUAACCAAAAAUAAAAAACGAAACAAGCUAAUUCAUGGAUACACUUGUUAACCACAAUAAUAAGUUGGUCGCAAACAUGAUCAAAUCGUGAUAUAAGUGUUAGGGAAAUUCUGUUUACACUCAAAAUUUAUAGCUGAACAUUCAAUAAAUCAAUGGUAAAUGUACCAAGUAACAUUAAUAAUGAAUCGUUAAUUUAUUUGACACAUUUGGAAAAUUAAACGAUUUUUUUUGUAAAAAUUAUCUUCAAAUGAAGAUUAAGACUUUUUUUUUUUUGAACAAAAACGAAGAUUAAGGCAUUGAACAGUUCCGAAUAUAAAUUUAUUACGGUGAAGACACAUUAUUUACAAGGGGAGGAAUGAGCUCAUCCGCCAGAGAAUGCAAGUAUUAUUCAACGGGAAAAUUAUUCUUCCUAUUUUAUUCAUUAUUUUCUAGUGAUAAUUAAUCAUUUGUUAGCUAGUACGUGACAAUUGACAAAUAUUAGACAAGUGGUUAAAUACUUAAAAAAAAUUAAUUAUUUUUAUUAUGACAAUAGAUGUACCGAGCCGUGUUCCUGACACGCUGAAAAAAAUUUCAAGGUCGCAUCCUAUUAUGGCGGAGCUCUGCAUUUCCUAUUAUGGUGGAGCUAUGCAUUAGCAAGAGAGUAAUUUUGGGUAUUUUCUCUAUAACAGUGGAAAAUAAUCACCCUUAAUUUGAUUAUUGUUGUGGCCUAUAUUUAACUGACAGGGGAAGUGGGUCGGCGGCAUAGAGAGAAUAUAGAGAGAUAUGUGUUUGUAGGGUUGUGUAGAGGAUGUUAUUAUUUCCCCUAUAUAGUGCCUUUAUUUAUAGUAAUAAGAGAGUGAAUAAAUCCUUCUCCUACAAGGAAUACACGUCCUAAUAGGGAAAAUAACUAGAAUCAAAUCUAAUUUAGGAUUUACACAAUCACACUUAAACAAGAAGUUUAUAACACUUCCCCUUGAGUGUGUAAAUACUCAAGUAGAUUCGGCAUCAAGUAGAGGUUGAGGAAGUCUACUUGUCAGUACUAAUUAUGGGACCACGCUAUUCUCAAAUAAGGUAGGAACUUGCAUAACGAACUAAGUCUCACAAAAAACCCUAUGGCUAUGGUAAAAACCCGAGUAGAGACAAAAUCCAUAGUCUAAGGAAAAAUGCGUGAGUAAUGCAAAGUCAAAUGAAUAGUCUACAUGACGUCAUCAGGGAUAUGAUCAACCCAAGGUGGGUGCCUUGUCAAAACCUUGUUAGGUAGCAAAAACCUAGUGAGAAAAAAUGCUCCUAAUUGUAGGGAAAAAGAGUGCAUUAAGAUCAAGCAAGUAUACUUCAGAAUACUCCCCCUGAGUUUGACACAAUUGCAAAAAGAACUAGCAAUGUUACAACUCAGAAAGUUUAAGCAUACCAAUUCCUUGAACAAGCUUUAACAAUUUUUAGGUUAAAUUGUAUAAUUUAAUAGGUAAUUAAUGGAUUAAUUGGGUAAUUAAUCUAUUAAUUUUACCAAUUAAUUUUUUGGAGGUUACUUUGCAAAAAAGGGAAUUUGAUGAGACGAAUAUUGAAUUGGUACCUCUUUGGAGCAUUUUUGAGCUGCUCGUGUAGGAAUCUCGGUGUGCCUCAAGGGUAGUUUGGUCCUCUUUUACUAAAAAAUCCACGUGUCGUCUUGUGAUUAUUUUUUGCUCCACACCACGGAUUUUGUGCAGAAACUUCAAAAAGAUUCUUGGUUUAUGAUUACAUGCCAAAUGGUUCUCUAGAAUCUCUUUUGUUCCAGAAGAGUCCGAUCGUCUUGAAUUGGAAAACUGAAUAUCACAUUGCUGUUGGGACUGCAAGAGGACUUGCAUAUCUUCAUCAUAGUUGCAGAGAAUGCAUCAUACACUGUGACAUCAAACCUGAAAACAUUCUGUUGGAUGGCAGAAUAUGCCCCAAAAUAGCUGAUUUUGGUCUUGCAAAGCUCGUGAGCAGAGACUUCAGCCGGAUAAUUACAACCAUGCAAGGGACAAGAGGGUAUAUUGCUCCGGAAUGGAUAUCAGGAGAAGCUAUCACAGCAAAAGCCGAUGUCUUUAGCUACGGAAUGUUGUGUUUUGAGAUCAUAUCAGGAAGGAGAAACAGAGAUCUUUUGGAUGAUGGGUUGCAAAACUACUUCCCCACUCGCGUUGCAAAAUGUAUUAACGAAAGGGAGAGAGAUGUCGAUACCUUGUUGGAUUGCAGGUUAGAAGGUAAUGCAAACAAAGAAGAAGUGAUGAGAGCAUGCAAAGUAUCUUUGUUGAUGCAUUCAAGAUGCGAGAACGAUAGGCGGACAAUGGGGCAAGUUGAUCAACUUUCUGGAAGGAGUCAUAGAUCUCGGCAUACCUCCUAUCCCACAGUUCCUCGACCGGUUUUCAAAGAGUCUAGUCGAGUCCAUACAUUACCAUAACAUUUAUUCCAGUACUGCUUCGGAUUCAAGGCGUGGCUACUCGAGUAGUAUUACUAUAUCUGGAGCUUAAACUUAAAAGCUACUAAUUUCCAACUUUCAAAUUUCCAUUUUCUUUAUUUUUGUUAACUUGCAGGAGAUUGUGAGUCCCCUCAUCCUCCGCUGUGGUUUUGCUUUACAACGUAAAAAUUGUUGAAAUAGUUCUCCAAACUUCAGUCUUUCUUGUCGUGUGCUUCUAUUUCUUUUGACUAAUUAAAUUAGAAUAUCGCUUGAAUAAAGGAAUAAACAAUUAAAAUCUUAUUUGGCCCAAACCUUCUGCAUAGUGCAUACCUCUUUUUUCCUGCAGACAUUUGGAAUUCGAGCAAAUAGCAUUUUCACAGAAAGCAAAUAGUGUGCUAUGCAAAAAGGACAUUCGAUAGAAAACGUGGACUGGAAAGGACAGUGUACCAAACAUGUUUUGGAAAUUCUACUGUUUUGACAAAUCCCAGGGAAUGUUGAGUUAUAUAUGUAACGUCAACAACCACGGAAUCCUCCGCAAUGAUGACCACACGUUUAAAAUGUCGUGGACUGCAACUCAACUUUCAAAGUUCAACGUCCUAUUUUCUUACCUUUUAGCCGUCUGGUUAAAAUUACACAGCUGAAAUAUUAAAAUUAAGGUACGGUACAAGCGGGUUGAAAGUGAUGUGUUAUAAUACAUGAAAUGGCUUGAACAACAUGAAUGAUGAUAUCUCAACCGAAUAUCAAAUGUUAUAUUGAGGUAUUGGUGCUAAAUAUAGACGUCAUAUCAACAAUAUCUACUAAAUAUCAAUAACAUAUUAACCUCUACCGAAUAUGAAUGACACUAACAACUACAUUAAUGAAUAUCAUUGCUUCCGUUGACGUUGUUGACACUUCCGACACGUCUUUCAUUUCACCCUUGGUUUAUUUGUUUUUCGUUUUGGGUUGGGGUUCACAUAUGGGUGGCAACCCGGUUGUACAAUAUAUUUUUUUUUUUUUGUUUGGUCAAGGGAAAGAUUUCCAUUCCAACAAAGCACAAAUACAUAAUGGUCUAGAUACACCUAGUCAGAACAAGAGAACAGCAUGACCAGAGACCUUGAAACCAUACAAACCAAAAACCUAAGUAAUUUACACCACUGACAUCACCAUAACACCUCAGAUUCUCUAUCAUCUUGCAGCCUAAAUUCCGAUCAAACAAAUUCCCAGGAAGGAGAAAACACAUAGCUACAUCAUCCUUGAACCAGCACCAGAUGAUCCGCCACCACAUCACAAGAGAAACUAAUGGGGAAGCCGAUGGGAAAACCAGAGGCAUCCGUGCCAACAAGGGCACACAAGUAGAAGGUGGUGGUGUAAACACCCGAGCCAGAGCUCUACGCACCUUCUGGCAAGUCCGCGUCAAAACGUGUUUAGGAGAUAUAGUUGUAGAUCGAGAUUGGUGUGAAAACAAGGAGGGAUGGAGCAAAAUUUAGAGGAUGAGAAAAAGAAAGAAACGAGAACAUAGUGGAAAGAAAUAGGAGGAGUGGGAAGAAAUUAGAUCUCUGAAACAUGGAUGAAAGGAAAGGAGGACAAGAAAUUUGAAGAUCGAAGUUUAGAAUUACAAAGUAGAACACCAACAGAUUGGGGAUGGAGAAUCAAAAUAUAGCAGGGGAAAUAUACGCAAAAUAGAAGGGAAACGAACUAGAGGUUGCCGCCGACCUCAACCAUGCUAAGGGCUGACUGCUGAACGAAAAUCGGAUCGGGAAAGCUCACACACAAACAGUGCGAAAAGUUCUCACAGAGAGAAAAGAACUCUCACCAGAACGGGAGAGAAGUUGUUUUCUUGUUGUAGGAUUACAUGACUGGUAAUUAGGUAUGUUGCCUUUAGAUUAAACAACCCGGCACAAACUCCCCCUCGUGAAACGUAGUUGGACCAACUUCAUCGACCCAAGUUGUUAAUCGCAAUAAUAAGUUGGUUGCAAACAUGGUCAAAUCGUGAUAUAAUUGUUAGUGAAAUUCUGUUUAUACUUAAAAUUUAUAACUGAACUUUGAUAAAUCAAAGACGAAAGUACCAAAUAACAUUAAUAAUGAACUAUUAAUUUAUUUGAUACAUUUGGAAGAUUAAACGAUCUCUGUUUUGUAUGAUUUUUUUGUAAGAAUUAUCUUCAAAUGAAGAUUGAGAUUUUUUUUUUUUAACAAAAAUAAAGAUCAAGUCAUUGAACGAUUCCCAUAAUAAAUUUAUUACGGUAAAGACACAUUAUUUACAAGUAGAGAAAUGAGCUAAUCCCCAAAAAAAGCAGAGAAUACAAGUAUUAUUCAAUGAGAAAAUUAUUCUUUCUAUUUUAUUCAUUAUCUUCUAGUGAUAAUUAAUCAUUUGUUAGAUAGUACGUGACAAUUGACAAAUAUUAGAUAAGAGGCUUUUAGUGAUAAGACUAAAACUAAUUGUUUUAUCCGCUGUGAUAAACAGUCCCCUUAAAUACAUAUAGGAAAUCUCCAUCACCAACACCAUGUCAUCUGAGGCUGCAAUUGUCACGCAUGAUCCUCUGCUUGUGUAUAAACAAAUAAUCAUUCGUUGGGAGAAUUUUCCUGCUCAAAAGCAGUUGCCUCAACUCGUUAACGGUGCUUACGUCCUUCACUUCCAACGGCAUCGUUGCCGCAUUGAGUAAACUGGACAAUGUUUGCACCACCACAUUCUGACCUAGUUUGGGAGUGAGGUGCUUAAAAAAAAAGCACCUAUGAAAAAAAGCUGUGAGGAUUUUAGGUGUUUGGUAAACUGAAAAAAAAAAUCUUAUUUUGGAAGCUGCUGUGAGAAUAAGCUGAAAUCAAAGGAAAAAGCUGAAGCUGCUAUUUGCAGCUUUGGAAAACUAGCUUUUUUUCAAAGCACACGGAGCUACAGUGCUCCUUUAAUGAAAAGACCCACUAUCAGCCUGCUUUUUUUUCCAAAAGCACUUUUACAAAAAAGUUUACCAAACGCUCUGCUGAUUUAUUUCACAGCCGCUUAUUCUCACAGCACAGCCGCUUAUUCUCACAGCAAUUUUUUUUCAAAGCACAGCAAUACCAAACCAGCCCUCUAUCUUCUCGCCGCCGGCUCCUCUCUUAGACAACUCAUACAGUGUUGUGGAAGAUAACAAUUCCGAAAAUGCACGUAUCCCAUACUCUUUUGAAAUGACACAUCCUACAAAUUCUUCUACCUUCCAUAUUUUCUCUUGUAAAUACAUGGUCUUAAAUUUUAUAGUGAGAAGAAUAAAAUGUACAAACCCAGACAACCAAUUAAGAGGUAGACUGGAAAAAAGCUAAAGAUGAGUAAUUUUGGGUCUUUUCUCUGAACUGUUGAAAAUAAUCACCGAUUAUUGACAAUACAAAUCUCCGUAAUUUCAUACUAAUUAAUAGUCAAUCUAUGCUGGUACAUCGAGUGAUUUAGCUUAAUUUCACUCCCUAAUAUCGUUAAUUGCAUAAAAGAAUUAAAAGGCCCCAUUUUUUCAUGUAUUUCUUUCCCGUGGAGUACUUCUCAAACUAAUUCCAUAUCGUCAGAGACUGGAAUUCCAAGUCUCAAAAGUAUUCUUGCUGUGAUUCUUGGUCGCUGGUGGAUCCAUUGACAAAUCUGUUAAGUUUUUCAGUUAUUCUUGCGGCCCCAAACUCAGACAUAGAUUUGCCUAUCUAAGAUCGGUGUUACAAUUGUUGCAAUCCAAGAUCGGUGUCUUUGACGGGACCACCGUCUUGCGGGGGCGUAAAAGGGAAUCUUCUACUCACCUGCUUGUCCACUAAGCCGUCUAAGUCCACUAGCUGUCCUUUCAUGAUUGCUUCCAUUAGCUAUUCAUGAUUGUGUCUAGUCCACUAGUUGUCCAUUAACCUUUCAUGACUCAUUGCUUGUCCACUGCUUCUAAGUCCACUAGCUGUCCUUUCAUGAUUGCUUCCAUUAGUCAUGAAUGAUUGAUUGUUGUCUGGCUCCUAUAAAGAGCACUUGUAAAUCAUUUGUAAGUUAACUGAAUAUACAUUCAUACUCACCUUAAUUGGGAGUAGAGGUUGGAGUAAAGAAGUUUCAUACGAUUUCUCCUGUUCUUCUCAACAACCCUCCUUUCAACUUUGGUUGAAGAAGAUUCAUUUGCUUGAUUA